CACGCCAUGCUCCUGCUCUGAUGAUGCCACAACUGGGCCUGCAGCAUUCCAUUGCCCUGAAGGCUGAGCAGAGCCAGGGCAUUCCUCUCUCCAGGAAGCAGCCUGAGGUUAACCCAAGUCUACUUUAUUUUUAGCUGAGACUUUAACUGGCCGUGAUUCCAUGCAAUGAGGAUGUCAACAGGGAGAGAGGUCUCCUCAAAAUCUGUGCAGUAAUUGUGAGUCACGGAUGGCAACACUGCUUACAGUGCGUGAAAAGCUGACGUGCCUUCACAGAUAGAAAAAGGAAAACAGGGAACAAGCAAAGCCCUGAUUGACACGCUCUUCAUAAGAGGCAGAAGAGGCAGUGUGAGGUGAAGCCAGACUAAUUCUGACAGGAAACUCAACUGAUGUUUGCAGCUACAGACAUGUGUGUUCUUCUGAGGCCUUCAGAUUAAGACAUGCUCUCUGGAAGGAAUGUUGUGGUAAACUAUCUGCUGACCUCUUCCCUUGGGGCACAGUGCCUUCUUCAGCAUGGCCUGACAUGUCAGAUAUCUGUCACAUGCAUCCACAGACUCAUUCUCAUCUGAUCAUUCAACUGGCGGCCAUAAUACACGGUGCCCACGUGGGAUGGGAACACAUCAGAUCACAAACUGGGGCAGAAGACAUGCAUGAUCCAAUGGAAGAGGAGAUCAGCACAACCAGCUUACUUGAACAAAAGCAAUGGGUGAAGAAUAGGUGGAACAAAAUGAGAUGCAGUGGUUUGUGAUGUCCUCGAAGUCAUUGGCACUUCUGGCCUAAACAGCUUGAUUUUAUGAAUUGAUAUUAGGCAAAUAUUAUGGGAUGGCA